GAUCGCUUGACGGCCAACAAACGGUACAACUGACGGCACGACAUACCUUUAUAAGCUGCACGUUAUGUUAAUAAAUAAUAAUUUAUUAUUCAGUUCACGGCGAGUCUGUUUCGAAGGAUAUUUAAAUUGAAAGGCUUAGCCUAUUUUUACCAGUAUGAAGCCGGUUUUCAACGGUUGCUGCAAACGGCAAGCACGCAGUUCAAGUCAUCACUGGAGGGACCUGUGCAUAACUUUGGAUGAGAGAAGACUCAACGCCUGACUUAAAUCUUGCGAAAUUACGGUGAACUUGAGGAUCCUGAAUUUUGUUUUUUGAGAGGAGGGCGCACCAGAGCCUUUGAGGGCAUGCAUUGUAACGUGAGAGUUCACACCACCAGAAGAUGCAUUGUAACCAAGUCCACAAAGACCCCCCC